AGUGAACGCUGGCGGUAGGCCUAACACAUGCAAGUCGAACGGCAGCACAGUAAGAGCUUGCUCUUACGGGUGGCGAGUUGCGGACGGGUGAGGAAUACAUCGGAAUCUACUUUUUCGUGGGGGAUAACGUAGGGAAACUUACGCUAAUACCGCAUACGACCUACGGGUGAAAGCAGGGGAUCUUCGGACCUUGCUCGAUUGAAUGAGCCGAUGUCGGAUUAGCUAGUUGGCGGGGUAAAGGCCCACCAAGGCGACGAUCCGUAGCUGGUCUGAGAGGAUGAUCAGCCACACUGGAACUGAGACACGGUCCAGACUCCUACGGGAGGCAGCAGUGGGGAAUAUUGGACAAUGGGCGCAAGCCUGAUCCAGCCAUACCGCGUGGGUGAAGAAGGCCUUCGGGUUGUAAAGCCCUUUUGUUGGGAAAGAAAAGCAGCAGGUUAAUACCCCGCUGUUCUGACGGUACCCAAAGAAUAAGCACCGGCUAACUUCGUG
rnacentral:rRNA from 1 species